rnacentral:lncRNA from 1 species
AUCAACAGUGAUUCAAUAGUCCUCAUUCACUCAACCAGCGAACCCCAUUUAUCCUUAAGAUCAAACCUUAAUCACUCACUCACCUCUCAUACGCCGCCCUCAUUCUAUCUCACUCCCUCUUCUCUCACCAUUUUUACCCAAUGAACCCCAACGGCAACUGGUGGUUCACCACCCUCUCUCCCAUCACUAAACCCCCACAUUUUCCCCUUUCUUUCUUCUCUAUCAGAUCUCUGGACCUUUCCCUAGUACGAGAGGACCGGGAAAGACGCACCUCUGGUGUACCAGUUAUCGUGCCCACGGUAAAUGAUGGGUAGCCAAGUGCGUAGCGGAGAAAUGCGGAGGUCUAUCACUUAUCCCGGUCAAAUUACUUUGGCCUUCAUAGGAUCUGGAAGAUCCUUUGGUUUUGUUAAAGAAACAGUCAAGAUUUGGUGAGCCAAAGCAUAUUCGAGAUGGAGCUUCAAAAAUGGGAGCGAACAGCCCUCAACGACUCCUUCUCCUCACAUCAAUCCCUUAAAAGGUGAGACUCCUCUCAAAUCUCUUUCUUUCUAUCUUUCUCUUCUUUUUAUCACAUAGACUGCCACUAUUUGAAAUUCAAAACCCAACCGGGUAGAUGAAGCCAUAACUAUGGCUAUGAUAUAAUCUAUUAACUUGCAAGGAAAAUAAUGAGAUCUAAGUUAGCAAUCUAAGAGAGAAGAGAAAGGAACUAAGUAUUCUUAUUCAUAAUCCUCAAAUGGGUAAAGUGCAGUACAUAUAACGUGACUUAGAUGGAGACUAAAGUAAAAGAAAUAUAAGACUAACUGGGCCAAAGUAAAAAUACUCUAGGGACUAAACUGCUAGUUCUCAAAUUGUAUACCGACUUAACUACUUCUUAUUCUCGUACUACUCCCGCAGUUGUGCAAUUGACGCAGUUUAUAUCAGUACUCCCCCCUGAAAAUCUUCAUUGUCCUCAAGGAAGAAAGGAUGGAAACCCGACACGCAAAAUACUAGCAUUUUCCCAAGUUGCUUGAUCUUCUGAAAGUUGAUCCCAUUGAAUUAGAAGCUGAACAAUUGCCUUAUUCCCCUUCUGAACCAUCCUUCUGUCCAACACAUUAGCAGGGCAAGGAAAAUAAGGGCUAGACAAGUCCAAAACUGGGGGGUGAGAUACUUUCUGAGGGACCUUGUAACAGGGUUUAAGUAAGGAUACAUGGAAGGUGGGGUGCAACAUCAACUGUGGAGGCAAGGACAGUUUGUAGGCAACAUUGCCUACCUUCUGAAGGAUCUGGUAUGGUCCAUAAUACUUGGAAGAAAGUUUGGUGAAGUGUCUACUAGAUAAAGUCAUCUACCUAUAGGGUUGAAUCUUAAGAUACACCCACUCUCCAACCUUAAACUGUUUGUCUGAUCUUUUUCUGUUGGCUUGGUCGACCCUCCUCUGUUGAGACCUGGACAGAUGGAACUUAAGUAGCUGCAACUUGAGCUCCUUUGUCAUCAAGCUUCUAACCACUUCUGGUACCCCUGAAUCUCCUUGCAUAUAAGGCAAGUGUAAAGGUGGAGGCUGACCAUACAAGGGUUCAUAUGGUGUGGUCUGAGUGGAUGUGUGAAAGGUGGUGUUAUACCACCAUUCUGCAAAGAUCAAAUAAUGCCCCCAAUCUGCAGGUGAGUCAGAGCAGUAGCAUCAUAAAUAAGUCUCCAAAAACCUAUUGAUAACCUCAGUUUGACCAUCGGACUGUGGGUGGUAAGCAGUAGAAGUGUUUAAGGUCACUCCUUGGGUAGCAAACAGUUCCUGCCACAAUUUGCUCGUGAAGAUUGGGUCCCUACCACUCACAAUAUCUUCAGGCAUUCCAUGAAGCUUAAAGAUAUUUUCCAUGAACAACUUGGCAAUGUCUAUUGCAGAAUAAGGAUGUUUAACUGCUAUAAAAUAAGCAUACUUUGUCAAUCUAUCCACCACCACCCAAAUGACUUCUUUCCCAUUAUACUUGGGCAACCCCUCGAUAAAAUCCAUGCUAAUGCUACUCCAUACCAGUGCUAGAAUUUGUAGUGGCUGCAACAAGCCUGGAGAUGCAGAGUGGUCAUACUUGCUUUUUUGGCACACAUCGCAUUUUUUAACAUAGUUCUCCACUUCUUCCUUCAUCCCCCUCCAGUAAAACAGAGCAGCAACCUUCCUGUAAGUAUGGUCGAUUCCAGAAUGACCACCAGUAACUGAGUCAUGCCACAGUUGAAGUAUCUCCUUCCUAAGCAUUACACUAGACCCAACCACCAUUCUCUCAUUCUUUCGCAAUUGCUGAUUAAUGAGAGAAUACCCCUUCACUUCUUCUUUGAGAUUAUCCAAUUGAUGCAUUAACUCUUGUAACUCUGGAUUUGUAAUCCAGCUAUUCAUGAUGGCCUGUAGUAGGUCAGUUCUCAAGGUGGAUAGUGAGAGAGCAGCAAUUUCCACUGCAUAAAUUUUGGACAGAGCAUUUGCAACUUUAUUCUCCUUACCCUCUUAUAUUCAAUUUCAAAGUCAUAUUGCAUAAGUUUAGUCACCCACUUCAAUUGUGCUCUUGUGUGCAACUUUUGCUCAAGUAGGAAUUUUAAGGCCUUUUGGUCAGUUUUAACAAUGAAAUGUCUAUCUGUUAAAUACUAACCCCACCUUGUGACAGCCAUUACCAAUGCUAGAAACUCUUUGUCAUACACAGACAUAGUUUGGUGUUGUUGAGAUAACCCUUUACUUAGAUAUUCAAUAGGUUGUCCCUUCUGCAUAAUCACAACUCCAAUUCCCACAUCACACGCAUCGGUUUCGACUGUAAAUACCAAGCUAAAAUCUGGCAGAGCUAACACUGGUGCAGUAGUUAGAGCAUUUUUCAAUGACUGAAACGCUGCAGUUGCCUUCCCAGUUCACUUGAAACUAUCUCUCUUCAACAGAUCAGUCAGCGGCUUGCUAAUCUGCCCAUAACCCCUAAUGAAUCUCCUAUAAUACCCAGCCAACCCCAAGAAGCCUCGUAAUUGCUUGACAGUAGAAGGGGUUGGCCACACUUAUACUGCCUGGAUCUUCUUAGGGUCAGUAGAGACCCCCUUGGCAGAGAUAUAAUGUCCCAUAGACUCCACACUUGUUGUAGCAAAAUGACAUUUAGAUUUCCUAGCAAAGAGAUAGUGCUGCAGCAACAAUCUAAAGGUCUCUUUUAAGUGAGCCAUAUGAUCCUGCAUAGUCUCGCUAAAAACCAGUAUAUCAUCAAAGAACACUAAGAUAAACUUCCUCAAAUGCUCUUGAAAAAUGUGGUUCAUCAAGCCUUGAAAGCUACAGGGAGCAUUCGCCAAAUGGCAUCACCAAAUACUCAUAAUGACCUGAAUGGGUCCUAAAAGCUGUCUUGUGAAUGUCUGAGGGUGCCAUCCUAAUUUGGUGAUAGACUGAUCCAAGAUCAAUCUUAGAAUACACCUGNNNNN